rnacentral:rRNA from 1 species
GAUGAACGCUAGCUACAGGCUUAACACAUGCAAGUCGAGGGGCAGCAUUAUCGAAGCUUGCUUUGAUAGAUGGCGACCGGCGCACGGGUGAGUAACGCGUAUCCAACCUCGCCCCCAAGGUAGGGCACAGCCCGGCGAAAGUCGGAUUAAUUCCCUAUGUGGUCAUGUUAUGGCAUCAGUAUAUGACUAAAGACCAUUGGUUGCUUGGGGUUGGGGAUGCGUAGGAUUAGCUUGACGGCGGGUUGACAGCCCACCGUGGCGACGAUCCUUAGGGGUUCUGAGAGGAAGGUCCCCCACACUGGUACUGAGACACGGACCAGACUCC